AUAUAUCAAUUUCCUAUUUUGAAAUCGCCAACUCCAGGUGUUUCACCAAGAGUUAAUUGCAGUAUAUAAAGUCGAAGGACAUCAUCAAUGCUGAGUGCUUCUCAGAAGGAUCUUAGGGAGAGUAAGCUGGAAGCACUGCAUUUGUCCUUUGCAAAGCCUUCAAGCAGUAUUUGUUUACAUGAUGUGGAGAGAAAGAAAUAAGAGAGAUUGUUGUCUACAUAUAAGAGGAAGAAGACUGAAAGAUGGAGCUCAAUGGCUGGCUACUACACUGCAAGGUGUGCCUUAGAGGGACGGACAACUGCAUAGAGCAAAUGCGACUGUUAGCAUAGGUUGAAUCUGUCUAGUACCGGUAUAGAUCAGUUGUGGUUAGAAGAACUUGAGAAAUGGAUGGUCUGACCCAUUUGGCUUUGUAACUCGAUGGGUGUCUCAACAACAAUAUGCAGGUUUCCUGUGUCAUAUUAUGAGUAGUGUCCCUAUUUUCGGCUCUUAGUCUUUUGAAACAAUCCAGACAACUUGAAUGCCAACAACUUGUAUCGCAAAGGUAUGACCGGCAUCCCUUAUCAUGAGAGCUACAAAGGAGAAGAACGACAUUGUGUGGAUGAUCCAUGCAUAUAGGGCAUGAAGCUCCAUCCAAUUCCUUGUACAGGACAUGCAUAUCUAUAUCAUUUGACAUGCUUCGUUUCCUACCAGCCAUCUACGUACAAUGGAACCAUUAGACUAAUGCAACAGCUAGCAAUAUGGAAACAGGACAUUUUGUACUUUGACAAGCAGUAAGCAAACUAAACUGUCUAAAUACCACAACUCCAAGUUAUAAAAAUAUAUCAUUAACGAGUUUGUGCAAACUAACGAACCUCAAGAAUGACAGAAAUUGCCCUAACUACCAUGUUGUUAGAGUUUGUGAUAAUUAAAGUGUUUACGUAAAAAACUAACGAGGGGUAAUUUUGAUCUAUUUCAGAUAGUUCAGGGGUAUUUUUGAUCCUUUUUCGAACUCCGUUAGAGAGAGGGGUAUUUUUGAACCAAAUAAGAAAUAUUUGAACCAUGAUUGUUCCUAGCUCAACUAGGAUUUAUACUAUUA
rnacentral:lncRNA from 1 species